CAGUCGAGGGGUAAAUAUUGUAGCAAUACGAUAUGAGACCGGCGCACGGGUGCGUAACACGUAUGCAACCUACCUUUUACUGGGGUAUAGCUCCGAGAAAUCGGAAUUAAUCCCCCAUAACACUGCGAUGAGGCAUCUCGAUGCAGUUAAAGCUCCGGCGGUAAAAGAUGGGCAUGCGGUACAUUAGCUAGUUGGUGAGGUAAUGGCUCACCAAGGCUACGAUGUAUAGGGGGUCUGAGAGGAUGAUCCCCCACACUGGUACUGAGACACGGACCAGACUCCUACGGGAGGCAGCAGUAGGGAAUAUUGGUCAAUGGACGCAAGUCUGAACCAGCCAUGCCGCGUGCAGGAUGACAGCCCUAUGGGUCGUAAACUGCUUUUAUAAGGGAAGAAACCCCUGGAUGCGUCCGGGGCUGACGGUACUUUAUGAAUAAGGAUCGGCUAACUUCGUGCCAGCAGCCGCGGUAAGACGAAGGAUCCAAGCGUUGUCCGGAUUUACUGGGUUUAAAGGGUGCGUAGGCGGAGUGCUAAGUCAGUGGUGAAAGCCCGCAGCUCAACUGCGGAACUGCCAUUGAAACUGGCACUCUUGAAUACGGUGGAGGUAGAUGGAAUAUAACAUGUAGCGGUGAAAUGCUUAGAUAUGUUAUAGAACACCGAUUGCGAAGGCAGUCUGCUACACCGUGAUUGACGCUGAGGCACGAAAGCGUGGGGAGCAAACAGGAUUAGAUACCCUGGUAGUCCACGCCCUAAACGUUGAUUACUCGCUGUUGGCGAUACACUGUCAGCGGCUAAGCGAAAGCGUUAAGUAAUCCACCUGGGAAGUACGUCCGCAAGGAUGAAACUCAAAGGAAUUGACGGG
rnacentral:rRNA from 1 species